CGCGCGGCGACAACGGUCGAGAACUCUCGAAACUGAGAAGACGGUCGCAUUCAAAAACUCAAAACGCAUCUGCAAAAUGGCUCCUCUCUUUUUUCUCUGCGGGAUGCGAUGGAGAGAGAAGUACAUCAGGUGGCAGGCAGGAAUAUUAAAUGUCGGGCAUGAUGGUCGAUCGACGGCUGAGAUCGGAGUCGCCAGUUACCGUUGGGAUGGGGUGAAAAAUUUGAAUGUGCUACUGCUGUUCGAAAGUCGAUGCGACGAGAGCGUGACGUGGCGGCGGGCAAAUCAACGUGCGAACUCCUGCCCUCGUGGGGCUGUGCAUUUCCCACGUGGGGACCUUCGGUCGGUGCUUCGUAUCAUUGCAGAUGGGUUGGUCCAUCGGCUAACGACGGUAGCACUUUCAAAAUGCAAACAUCCGUUCCGUACAAUAAUUUCUUCUUUCAGAGAAUCAUCAGGUGGUAUAUCAGGAUUAACACAUUUCUAAACACAGUCCAUGCGAAUUAAAGUAAUCUAACUUGUUCGAUUAACGAGCACAUGGGUGAAGAAAUUGUCCAUUUUUAUUAGGAUUUACUAUUGUCGUACGAAUCAGUGUAAUUAAACUUGCUACACAUUAAAAAAAAAAAAAACAGAAGAACAUUGUUCCUUAUUGCAGACGAUUGUCUAAUGAUUAAGCUGCAUAUCCAAAUUAUAAAAGAUUUCUUAGAAUUUUUCUGCAGUUUUUGACCCACUUAUUACCACUGUAACGUUAAAUUUGUACUGAUUUUUCCAACUUGAUAUGAUAUUAAAGCAUGAUGCCCAAACAUGGUUAUUUUCUUC